CAUGCAAGUCGAACGAGAAUCUACUGAAAGAGUUUUCGGACAAUGGAUGUAGAGGAAAGUGGCGGACGGGUGAGUAACGCGUGAGGAACCUGCCUUGAAGAGGGGGACAACAGUUGGAAACGACUGCUAAUACCGCAUGAUGCAUAGGGGUCGCAUGAUCUUUAUGCCAAAGAUUUAUCGCUUCAAGAUGGCCUCGCGUCUGAUUAGCUAGUUGGCGGGGUAACGGCCCACCAAGGCGACGAUCAGUAGCCGGACUGAGAGGUUGAACGGCCACAUUGGGACUGAGAUACGGCCCAGACUCCUACGGGAGGCAGCAGUGGGGAAUAUUGGGCAAUGGGCGCAAGCCUGACCCAGCAACGCCGCGUGAAGGAAGAAGGCUUUCGGGUUGUAAACUUCUUUUAAGAGGGAAGAGCA
rnacentral:rRNA from 1 species